rnacentral:rRNA from 1 species
AUUGAACGCUGGCGGCAUGCCUUACACAUGCAAGUCGAACGGCAGCACGGGGGCAACCCUGGUGGCGAGUGGCGAACGGGUGAGUAACAUAUCGGAACAUACCCUAGAGUGGGGAUAACGUAGCGAAAGUUACGCUAAUACCGCAUACGAUCUAAGGAUGAAAGUGGGGGAUCUUCGGACCUCAUGCUCAUGGAGUGGCCGAUAUCUGAUUAGCUAGUUGGUGAGGUAAAGGCUCACCAAGGCGACGAUCAGUAGCUGGUUUGAGAGAACGACCAGCCACACUGGAACUGAGACACGGUCCAGACUCCUACGGGAGGCAGCAGUGGGGAAUUUUGGGACAAUGGGGGCAACCCUGAUCCAGCAAUGCCGCGUGAGUGAAGAAGGCCUUC